GCAAGAACAUCAUUUUUACUGAUUGAAAUGAAACCAAGAUACUGUAGCAUAAUGAAUUCACGAUUGCCUGAUGACACUGGCAAAGAAUCAACAGCGCUCCAAAUUAAAAACUAGGCACAGAAGGGGAAAAAAAUAAGGAUCCUGGAAGUGUUACGUCAUACUACAUAAGAAGCCGAAUUUUUUCAUCAUUCUCUGAUAGCUGAGAGCUAACUCAAGACCCUCUCUCUAUUUCUUUAAAUGAAGUCUAUUGGAUUGUAUUUUCACUGUGGCUGAGAAAGAGAAUUGAAAGGCUGAGUCAAAUCUCUGAAGUCAAGAUCACUCUUCCAAGGCUUACGGAAACAAGAGCUGCUGAGAAGCACCCCUCUGGCAUAUGGAGAACAUAACAACUGUACAACUUGAUAUGUACCUGUCAUGAUCCCCACGUGGGCCCUGCUUGUUUCACCAAACUAGGAGCUCACGCUACAUACCCAUCAGC